ensembl:rRNA 5S_rRNA 5S ribosomal RNA
GUCUACCACCAUACCACCCUGAAUGUGCUCGAUCUUGUCUGAUCCCAGAAGCUAAGCAGGGUCGGUCCGGUCCUGCAUGGUACUUGGAUGGGAGACUACCACCCCACCUUCGGGGAAACACCAGGUGCUGUAGGCU